ACCGUAUCAACUUCAAGCGUGGAGGGUUUCUUUCUCCCCGACUCUUUCACUUCAUCUUCUCCAAUGUCUGUUUUUUUUCUCAGUUUUCUUCUCAAUCAAUGAUAAUCUUAAAGUCAUUCUUGAGUGUUUUGUUUCACCUCCCCUCUAUAGUUCCCCUAUAUAAAGCUCUAUCUCUAUACCUACAUCUAUCUUAAUUAAAAAAAAAGCAACUCUGCAGAAGCUACUUCAUGGCCAUAAAAUACCACCGAAAAUUUUCAACUUUCCACAUACAAAUCUCCAGUCGUCGUCUACUUCUGGAGAAACCACCCCCACCGAGAAGCUAAUGCACAAGAGGUUUACCAGAAUUCGCUGAGGACAGAGGCAAAAGCCAGUGUGGUCAAUGGAACCGGAUACGAGCUUGAUCAGGUAAGGUCGGAUGUCUAGAGGCUAGCUGAAGAUAGAUAAAAGCCAUCGGCUGCAACAACUGUGCUUAACGGCGAGAUAGCCAAGAUCAAAGCUAAAUCGGACUGAGACAUGGAGAUUAAGGCAGACUCUUCGAGAAGAAGUUAGCAAAGGAAGGUGAAAACUGAAUAUACAUUUGUUCUGGAGUUGACAAUUUUGGACGAACAGUGACAAUUUUGAAAAAGGGCUUCUCUUGAGCGACCAUGAAAGCGGUAUGGAGAAGACCACCGAUCACUUACAUCGUCAAACUAUGAACUUCGAGAAGUAUUGUCUAACGUGGAGAUCAAAGAUAGAGCAGAAACUGCCGCUGUUGAGGCAGCUCAAAACCCAAGCAAUCUCAGAGUUUAGUUUAACCAUUUACUUGCAAAACUAACUUAUAACUUUGUGAACCUGUUCAUGUAAGGCCCUGGAUUCGUUGCAAGUUAUGAAAACUCAGAUGAUGCGUAUUGCUUAUGCAAGCCAAGGCCACCAACCCCCUGAAGAUAACGGUCCUAACCAGUUUCUCUAACACUGCAACGUACACGAGUCCACAAAACCUAAACUCAUUGCAUAGAUCCACUGCAUCAAACGCGAGUUAAUGUAUGUCCUUAAACUUCGGAUCUAUAUGAUUCAUUUAGUUUGUUUACAAGAGACGGUUUCAGUAACUAACAUUUUUAUACAAGUGUAAGUGUGUGCAGGUAUAUAUAAACUGUGAGUUAAUGUUACCUGGGAGGUUUGUGCAGUAGAGAGAAGAUGAGUUUUCGUCACUCCGGUGGAAAGAAUAUGUAGAUUGCAGCCAAGGCUCUCCACCACAAGUUGUUCCUAAAAAUAAAUCGAAUAAGCAGUUAAUCAAAGCUCAUUUAGAAACAUAUGUGUCUUUUACUCUAUAUAAUGUUGAAAAGGAGAGAAUUAAGCUGGGUGGGCUAAAUGAGGUAGCAUCAUUCUUUGGUGUUUUAGAAUUUGCAUUUAAAAUGAUAAUACAUUGAAUCUUUAAAGUCCUUAUAUCUAGCUUAUGUUUCUGACCAAUGAACCAUAAUACUGUUGGUGAACUUGGUGAGGAGGCAUUGUUUCCUGUAUACUGGAAUGUAGAUAAUCGGCAUGUGCUUAGAGUCCAGAAACUGUGACAGGGACUGUGUUUUGAAUCAUAUUUUUUUGUGCUUUCUAUUCAGGAGAACUAGGCCAAGAACUAGAGAGAUCAUUAGAGCUCAAAUCAAGGGUCUGCAGAGGCGCCAAAUUGUAAAUUGAGAUGUUAUCUUUUCUUUUUGUUUUAGUACAUUAGUUUGGUCUAUGAUGUUUAAGUCCAUGUUAGUUCUCGAUAUUUUCAUGAUAAUCCAGAAAAGUCCACAUGAUUUGA